CCGAAAGAAGAAGGGGCUGCCAACCACAACCUCCCUCACCCACUCAACCUACCUUUGCCCCUCAACUUCCCGCCCCCAUUCAACCACCCUCUCCCCCUCAACCUCCCGCCCCCGUUAAACCACCCUCUCCCCCUCAACCUCCCACCCCCAUUCAACCACCCACUCCCCCUUAACCUCCCGCCUCCAUUCGUUCCUUCCCCCAUCCAAGAAGCAACCCACGGUGAGGAAGAGAGGAGGAGUAUGGGCCUAUGGAGGAGUAUGCUGAGUUUGGAGUUCGCAAUGCGGACAUACUGCCAAGAUCCCCCGGUGGUGAUGAAGAGGAGGAGAAGUAUGGCACUAUGGAGGAGAGUCUGCAGGAUACAUUUGUAUUAAAUUACACAUUUCUGAGCACACAACCAGCAGCCAGCGAAAACAGGUUGGGAUAGAGACAAUUACUGCAUGCACCAAAUAUUUGGGAGAGUGAGAGAUUUCCCAGACUAGACACAUUAACCGUUUCUCCCCUGGCAGGCGUGUAACAUGACAGUGUGAUGGGAUCUUGCCUCUUAAUUUAACAAAUGUGUUCUCCUGUCCUAUGAAUAUGUUGUGACAAUGAGAGUACUCCUAUUCUGUUAUUUUCAUUGUGUCUAAUUAUGGAACCACCCUCCAUAAACAUGAGCUUUCUGUUAUUAUCAUACUUGAUUCUUAUGUUGUUAUGU